ensembl:lncRNA
GCCAGUAAUCAUCUUGUUGUUUUGGGGGAAUGCUGAUGGAUUUAAAACCUUCUGAUGCUUUUUCACCUCAUGCAGUCCAGUCUUCUAUGUCAGAGGUCCAUGUGACUGAGAAUUCGCCUGUUGAAGAAGUGGGCCCCAGUUUGUUCCCUAACAAACCCCUGAAAAGCAAGUCUAAGCUGAAUCUACUUCAGUUUGUCAAAGGUGGUUCCAGUAGCUAUCAGUCAACAUCCCAUGCCCAAACUGUUCAAAGCAGCUCUGGCUCCGCUUCCUUGCCUCAGGCCCUGAAUCAACAGCCUUCAAGCAGUUUGGCAUCCUUUGGAUCAGCUGUUGCUGGUGGAUUUAGUUUGGGGACUCAAUAUGCCGCAAGUGGUUCUGGACAAGUUGUUUCUACCCUAGGAGAGGGUAGUAGCUACCCUGCUAAGCUUGGUGUUUCUGGCCAAUCCUCCAGUGAUGCUUUGCAUGUGUCCAGCUCCCAGGAACCCUCUGUUCAACUGGCAGGAGCCUCUUUGCCCAUCUUCUCUAAGAAGGUCCCUUACAGCAGUUCAUCUGCUCCAGGUGCCAUCUCCACUUCUCGAAGUAGCCCUGCACUAUCAGUAAGCUUGGGUCAACCUGUAUCUUCUCAGAGUGAAGUUGGUUACAGUGGUUUAUCUCGAGGGGCCUCUAAUCUGUAUACCCCAUACUCCAAUACCAUGCUCAGUUCUUCCAUUUCUAGCCAGUCCACAAAUGUUCAGAGUUCCCCUAGUGUGUCUACAAGCACCCAGAGCAGGUCUGGCACUCAGUUGGCAACUUCCAGUUAUUUUAUCCCUGUGCAAGGAGGUAGUAGCUCCGUUAGUGUCUCUCUCAAGCCCCAGGGCACUCUGGGUCAGUAUGCUCCCAUGUCUCCUACCAAAUAUGUAAGUGCUCCCCAAGCAACCACAAAUAGUGGGUCUUCCCAUAGCGCAGGAUCACCGGUUAGUCCUCUCUCUCAAAUGGGAGCUUCUGGUCAGUUUACAUCUCGGGGAGGGUACUAUUACAGGGGAUUGCUUCCACAGUCUCAAGCUAGCUCUAGUCAAUAUGCUCUUGGCUACUCCAAGCCCAUUUCCUCACCCCAGAGCGAUUCCAGUCAGUCCACUAGUGUCUUGAGUUCCAGUAAGCAAUAUAGCUCUGCCUCUAAGGGCAGCUCUGGGGCUCAGUUUGG